CAUGCUAGGUAGGGGAAGGCAAAAAAUUUAUCUUGCAAGAGUCAUGAUCAAGACAUGAGCACAAAAUACUUUAACCAGUUCUGCAAGACGUUCAUCUUAGCGUGAAGCACUUCUGCUGACCAAUACAGAACCUAGUGCUUCACAUCCAGUAAUCAUGGUGGACCAACAACAAUUCGCUGCUCUGGUGCAACACAUGAAAACUCU
rnacentral:lncRNA from 1 species